UUUUCCGGUGAUCCUGCCGGACCCGACUGCUAUCGGGAUGAUACUAAGCCAUGGGAGUUGUACGUUCUUGGCCAUGUAAGGACGUGGCGUACGGCUCAGUAGCACAUGGUCAAUCUGCCCUUGGGUGGGGGAUAACCCCGGGAAACUGGGGCUAAUACCCUAUAGACGAGCAAUCCUGGAAGGGAUGUUCAUCAAAAAGGUGCAGGGGCAUGCUCCUGUGCCGCCCAAGGAUGAGACUGUGUUCCAUCAGGUAGUUGGCGAGGUAACGGCUCGCCAAGCCGAUAACGGAUGCGGGCAGUGAGAGCUGAAGCCCGGAGAUGGGCACUGAGACAAGGGCCCAGGCCCUACGGGGCGCACCAGGCGAGAAACCUCAGCAAUGCGGGAAACCGUGACUGGGCCAUCCCGAGUGCCAGCCGCUAAGGUUGGCUUUUCUUCAGAGUAGUAACCUGAAGGAAUAAGCGGGGGGCAAGACUGGUGUCAGCCGCCGCGGUAAUACCAGCUCCGCGAGUGGUCGGGACGAUUAUUGAGCCUAAAGCGCUCGUAGCCGGCCCGGUUAGUCCUGCGCUAAAUCCAACGGCUCAACCGUUGGCCUGCAUGGGAUACUGUCGGGCUAGGGAGCGGAAGAGGCCAGGGGUACUCCCGGGGUAGGGGCGAAAUCCUAUAAUCCCGGGAGGACGACCAGUGGCGAAGGCGCCUGGCUAGGACGCGUCCGACGGUGAGGGGCGAAAGCUGGGGGAGCGAACCGGAUUAGAUACCCGGGUAGUCCCAGCUGUAAACCAUGCGGACUGGGUGUCGGUACGGCUUCGGGCCGUGCCGGUGCCUCAGGGAAGCCGUUAAGUCCGCCGCUUGGGGAGUACGGUCGCAAGACUGAAACUUAAAGGAAUUGGCGG
rnacentral:rRNA from 1 species